GGUGUGGAUGGAGUGGAGUGGAGUGGAGUGGCGUGGAGAAGGGUAGGGUGCAGCGGAGUGAGGUCGGGUGAGGUCGGGUGAGGUGGGAUCCUCUAGAGUCGACCUGCAGGCAU
rnacentral:miRNA from 1 species